AUCACCCUCUAACACCUUGAGCCACCAUCAUCGUCUUCAACGUCCAAACCUCCAUCACCUCAUCGCAGACAUCAAUUCCUCAUCAUCAAUCUCUCUCUUAAAUUAUCAUGUAUGGGUCGCCGAUCAAUCUAAUUUAUCCUUACCCAUCUUAAAUCGAACCAUGAAUUUUCACAAGCUUCUCUAUUUAUUGUGGUCCGUUAAUGUAGCCUACAAAACUUUUUGAGUACAUUUUUAUUGUGAAAAUCUGGCAGAUAAGACUAUCAAACAAGUGAUAGCUGUGAAGGUCUUCAUGAGACUAGGAUCUCCAAAGUUUGAAGGAAGCUUUGAUCGGCCUGAAGGUGAUCAGGUAUACUGAAAACUUUGAAUCAGUUUUUGUCAUCAGAAGCAACCAAGUUGGUAGUUUUCUCACCCUUUU
rnacentral:lncRNA from 1 species